AUACGGAGGGUGCAAGCGUUAUUCGGAAUUACUGGGCGUAAAGCGCGUGCAGGCGGGCGAGCAAGUCUGAUGUGAAAGCCCCGGGCUUAACCUGGGAAGUGCAUUGGAAACGGUUCGUCUUGAGUUCUGGAGAGGAGUGGGGGAAUUCCCGGUGUAGAGGUGAAAUUCGUAGAGAUCGGGAGGAAUACCAGUGGCGAAGGCGCCCAUCUGGACAGUAACUGACGCUGAGACGCGAAAGCGUGGGGAGC
rnacentral:rRNA from 1 species